rnacentral:rRNA from 1 species
CUUUUUUUCUAGGGUGGGAGGGGAGCGAGCGAGAGAGGGAGUACUUGGGGAGAGACAGAACGUUGGAGAGGGAAGGGGGGUACUUGGAGAGAGGGAGCGGCGGUGGGUGGUGGGUGUAGCCGGUCAAGGCAGCUCGAGGUCGCCGCGCAUAGUGUGGGGCUCGAGGGGAUACAGGCGUGGAGGAAGGGGAGGCCGAUCUUAGUCGCGAGUUCGGCAGGUGGUCGGGGGCACCAUCGAUCCCGAAGCCGGCGGUGGGGAAUGGACCGGCCCUAGGCGGUGUAGGCCGCUGCAGCUCCGGUCGCCCGCGGCCUAGGCAGUGGCCGCACGGGUCGUCCUGUCCGUGUCUACCUCCUUGUGGCAGAAGUAGGGGACGGGGCUGCGGUUUCCACUAACGCAGUUUUUGUACCUCCGCAAGUCCUUCGCCCGCCCGUUCAAGUUCCUCGUUCAGCGGCUCGUCGUCGUCUAUUAUAUAAACUCGUGCGCCUACGGCCUCCCCAGCACGGACUCCUCUGGCUCGAGCGGUACGACGAGUAAAAGUUACGGUUGUUCCCUUCCCGGCUGCUCCUCUUGUCCCAGGGAUGUGGUUCUCCAUUGACCGCGUUGUCGACAUUGAACUCUGCGACCUGACCUCCUUCCUGGUACUCCUCUUGUUGAUGUAUUACAAUACCUACUUGUCCUACUACCCUCCCACUUAGUCUAGAUCCUCGUGUAGCUGAUGCUCCAAACGGUUGUGCUGUUCAUGGCAUACACACAGAUGAGUAGGUUGGACCUGCUUUACGAAGAGCCUUAAGAAUUUCUCCUUCUGUUACCUCGGUACGACAACAACACGUUGUCCGAUACAAAAAACAUUAUGGUAAACAGAACCGACACAUAGAAUGAAACACACACGAUCCUAUGAGUUUUUCGAUAGAGACAUUAAAUUUAGACACAAUACAACAGACCACACACAUUGGAAUAAAACACACACGACCCUAUGAGUUUUUCUAUAGACAGAUUAAAUUUAGACACAAUACAACAGACCGCACACAUUAGAAUAAAACACACACGACCC